GGGCGUUAAGUUGCAGGGUAUAGACCCGAAACCCGGUGAUCUAGCCAUGGGCAGGUUGAAGGUUGGGUAACACUAACUGGAGGACCGAACCGACUAAUGUUGAAAAAUUAGCGGAUGACCUGUGGCUGGGGGUGAAAGGCCAAUCAAACCGGGAGAUAGCUGGUUCUCCCCGAAAGCUAUUUAGGUAGCGCCUCGUGAAUUCAUCUCCGGGGGUAGAGCACUGUUUCGGCUAGGGGGCCAUCCCGGCUUACCAACCCGAUGCAAACUGCGAAUACCGGAGAAUGUUAUCACGGGAGACACACGGCGGGUGCUAACGUCCGUCGUGAAGAGGGAAACAACCCAGACCGCCAGCUAAGGUCCCAAAGUCAUGGUUAAGUGGGAAACGAUGUGGGAAGGCCCAGACAGCCAGGAUGUUGGCUUAGAAGCAGCCAUCAUUUAAAGAAAGCGUAAUAGCUCACUGGUCGAGUCGGCCUGCGCGGAAGAUGUAACGGGGCUAAACCAUGCACCGAAGCUGCGGCAGCGACGCUGAUGCGUUGUUGGGUAGGGGAGCGUUCUGUAAGCCUGCGAAGGUGGCCUGUGAGGGUUGCUGGAGGUAUCAGAAGUGCGAAUGCUGACAUAAGUAACGAUAAAGCGGGUGAAAAGCCCGCUCGCCGGAAGACCAAGGGUUCCUGUCCAACGUUAAUCGGGGCAGGGUGAGUCGACCCCUAAGGCGAGGCCGAAAGGCGUAGUCGAUGGGAAACGGGUUAAUAUUCCCGUACUUGGUGUUACUGCGAAGGGGGGACGGAGAAGGCUAUGUUGGCCGGGCGACGGUUGUCCCGGUUUAAGCGUGUAGGUGUGUGUUCCAGGUAAAUCCGGUUCACUUUAACACUGAGGCGUGAUGACGAGGCACUACGGUGCUGAAGCAACAAAUGCCCUGCUUCCAGGAAAAGCCUCUAAGCAUCAGGUAACAUCAAAUCGUACCCCAAACCGACACAGGUGGUCAGGUAGAGAAUACCAAGGCGCUUGAGAGAACUCGGGUGAAGGAACUAGGCAAAAUGGUGCCGUAACUUCGGGAGAAGGCACGCUGACACGUAGGUGAAGUGAUUUACUCAUGGAGCUGAAGUCAGUCGAAGAUACCAGCUGGCUGCAACUGUUUAUUAAAAACACAGCACUGUGCAAACACGAAAGUGGACGUAUACGGUGUGACGCCUGCCCGGUGCCGGAAGGUUAAUUGAUGGGGUCAGCGCAAGCGAAGCUCCUGAUCGAAGCCCCGGUAAACGGCGGCCGUAACUAUAACGGUCCUAAGGUAGCGAAAUUCCUUGUCGGGUAAGUUCCGACCUGCACGAAUGGCGUAAUGAUGGCCAGGCUGUCUCCACCCGAGACUCAGUGAAAUUGAACUCGCUGUGAAGAUGCAGUGUACCCGCGGCAAGACGGAAAGACCCCGUGAACCUUUACUAUAGCUUGACACUGAACAUUGAGCCUUGAUGUGUAGGAUAGGUGGGAGGCUUUGAAGUGUGGACGCCAGUCUGCAUGGAGCCGGCCUUGAAAUACCACCCUUUAAUGUUUGAUGUUCUAACGUGGACCCGUGAUCCGGGUUGCGGACAGUGUCUGGUGGGUAGUUUGACUGGGGCGGUCUCCUCCUAAAGAGUAACGGAGGAGCACGAAGGUUGGCUAAUCCUGGUCGGACAUCAGGAGGUUAGUGCAAUGGCAUAAGCCAGCUUGACUGCGAGCGUGACGGCGCGAGCAGGUGCGAAAGCAGGUCAUAGUGAUCCGGUGGUUCUGAAUGGAAGGGCCAUCGCUCAACGGAUAAAAGGUACUCCGGGGAUAACAGGCUGAUACCGCCCAAGAGUUCAUAUCGACGGCGGUGUUUGGCACCUCGAUGUCGGCUCAUCACAUCCUGGGGCUGAAGUAGGUCCCAAGGGUAUGGCUGUUCGCCAUUUAAAGUGGUACGCGAGCUGGGUUUAGAACGUCGUGAGACAGUUCGGUCCCUAUCUGCCGUGGGCGCUGGAGAACUGAGGGGGGCUGCUCCUAGUACGAGAGGACCGGAGUGGACGCAUCACUGGUGUUCGGGUUGUCAUGCCAAUGGCACUGCCCGGUAGCUAAAUGCGGAAGAGAUAAGUGCUGAAAGCAUCUAAGCACGAAACUUGCCCCGAGAUGAGUUCUCCCUGAGACUUAGAGUCUCCUGAAGGAACGUUGAAGACGACGACGUUGAUAGGCCGGGUGUGUAAGCGCAGCGAUGCGUUGAGCUAACCGGUACUAAUGAACCGUGAGGCUUAACCUUACAACGCCGAAG
rnacentral:rRNA from 6 species